rnacentral:rRNA from 1 species
CUACCAUGCAGUCGAGCGGUAGAGAGGUGCUUGCACCUCUUGAGAGCGGCGGACGGGUGAGUAAAGCCUAGGAAUCUGCCUGGUAGUGGGGGAUAACGCUCGGAAACGGACGCUAAUACCGCAUACGUCCUACGGGAGAAAGCAGGGGACCUUCGGGCCUUGCGCUAUCAGAUGAGCCUAGGUCGGAUUAGCUAGUUGGUGAGGUAAUGGCUCACCAAGGCGACGAUCCGUAACUGGUCUGAGAGGAUGAUCAGUCACACUGGAACUGAGACACGGUCCAGACUCCUACGGGAGGCAGCAGUGGGGAAUAUUGGACAAUGGGCGAAAGCCUGAUCCAGCCAUGCCGCGUGUGUGAAGAAGGUCUUCGGAUUGUAAAGCACUUUAAGUUGGGAGGAAGGGCAUUAACCUAAUACGUUAGUGUUUUGACGUUACCGACAGAAUAAGCACCGGCUAACUCUGUGCCAGCAGCCGCGGUAAUACAGAGGGUGCAAGCGUUAAUCGGAAUUACUGGGCGUAAAGCGCGCGUAGGUGGUUCGUUAAGUUGGAUGUGAAAUCCCCGGGCUCAACCUGGGAACUGCAUUCAAAACUGUCGAGCUAGAGUAUGGUAGAGGGUGGUGGAAUUUCCUGUGUAGCGGUGAAAUGCGUAGAUAUA